GUAUAAUUGGCUCCAGUUUCAUCCAUCUCAUCAGAACUGAUUCAAAUGAAUUCUUUUUUACGGCUGAGUAAUACUCCAUUGUGUAUAUGUACCACAGCUUUCUUAUCCAUUCAUCUGCUGAUGGACAUCUAGGUUGUUUCCAUGUCCUGGCUAUUAUAAACAGUGCUGCGAUGAACAUUGGGGUACAUGUAUCUCUUUCAAUUCUGGUUUCCUCGGUGUGUAUGCCCAGAAGUGGGAUUGCUGGGUCAUAAGGUAGUUCUAUUUGCAAUUUUUUAAGGAAUCUCCACACCGUUCUCCAUAGUGGCUGUACUAGUUUGCAUUCCCACCAACAGUGUAGGAGGGUUCCCUUUUCUCCACACCCUCGCCAGCAUUUAUUGCUUGCAGAUUUUUGGAUCGCAGCCAUUCUGACUGGUGUGAAGUGGUACCUCAUUGUGGUUUUGAUUUGCAUUUCUCUAAUAAUGAGUGAUGUUGAGCAUCUUUUCAUGUGUUUGUUAGCCAUCCGUAUGUCUUCUUUGGAGAAAUGUCUAUUUAGUUCUUUG
ensembl:lncRNA